rnacentral:rRNA from 1 species
UACGUAGGGUGCAAGCGUUAAUCGGAAUUACUGGGCGUAAAGCGUGCGCAGGCGGUUUUGUAAGUCAGAUGUGAAAUCCCCGGGCUUAACCUGGGAACUGCGUUUGAAACUACAAGGCUAGAGUGUGGCAGAGGGGGUGGAAUUCCGGGUGUAGUGGUGAAAUGCGUAGAUAUCCGGAGGAACACCAGUGGCGAAGGCGACUUUCUGGCCUGUUCUUGACGCUGAGGCGCGAAAGCUAGGGGAGCAAACGGG